rnacentral:rRNA from 1 species
ACAGGGAGACAGGUGGUGCAUGGUUGUCGUCAGGCUCGUGUCGUGAGAUGUUGGGUUAAGUCCCGCAACGAGCGCAACCCUACGUUUAGUUGCUAACGCGUGAAGGCGAGCACUCUAGACGAACUGCCGUUGACAAAAACGGAGGAAGGUGGGAUGACGUCAAAUCAUCAUGCCCUUAUGUUCUGGGCUACACACGUGCUACAAUGGUCGGUACAGACGGACGCAAAGCCGCGAGGUGGAGCAAAUCCUAAAAAGCCGGUCUCAGUUCGGAUUGCAGGCUGCAAUUCGCCUGCAUGAAGUCGGAAUCGCUAGUAAUCGCAGGUCAGCAUACUGCGGUGAAUACGUUCCCGGGCCUU